AAUAGUUUUAUGCCACAUCAGUAUUCUUAUCCUGAAUUUCAAGAUUUUAUCUUGAAAAAAACCAAAUCCAAAUUAAAAUAUUGAAAUUCAGGAUAAGAAUACUGAUGUGGCAUAAAACUAUU
rfam:Gossypium arboreum cultivar AKA8401 contig_365_13, whole genome shotgun sequence.